rnacentral:tRNA from 1 species
GUGGGUAUAGCUCAGUGGCAGAGCAUGUGCUUGGCAAACACAAGGUCCUGGGUUCAAUCCCCAGUGCAUCCA